UNGGCGGCGUGGAUAAGACAUGCAAGUCGAACGAGAGAAUUGCUAGCUUGCUAAUAAUUCUCUAGUGGCGCACGGGUGAGUAACACGUGAGUAACCUGCCCCCGAGAGCGGGAUAGCCCUGGGAAACUGGGAUUAAUACCGCAUAGUAUCGAAAGAUUAAAGCAGCAAUGCGCUUGGGGAUGGGCUCGCGGCCUAUUAGUUAGUUGGUGAGGUAACGGCUCACCAAGGCGAUGACGGGUAGCCGGUCUGAGAGGAUGUCCGGCCACACUGGAACUGAGACACGGUCCAGACACCUACGGGUGGCAGCAGUCGAGAAUCAUUCACAAUGGGGGAAACCCUGAUGGUGCGACGCCGCGUGGGGGAAUGAAGGUCUUCGGAUUGUAAACCCCUGUCAUGUGGGAGCAAAUUAAAAAGAUAGUACCACAAGAGGAAGAGACGGCUAACUCUGUGCCAGCAGCCGCGGUAAUACAGAGGUCUCAAGCGUUGUUCGGAAUCACUGGGCGUAAAGCGUGCGUAGGCUGUUUCGUAAGUCGUGUGUGAAAGGCGCGGGCUCAACCCGCGGACGGCACAUGAUACUGCGAGACUAGAGUAAUGGAGGGGGAACCGGAAUUCACGGUGUAGCA
rnacentral:rRNA from 1 species